rnacentral:rRNA from 1 species
AGCGGCGGACGGGUGAGUAACGCGUGGGUAACCUGCCUCAUACAGGGGGAUAACAGUUAGAAAUGACUGCUAAUACCGCAUAAGACCACGGUACCGCAUGGUACAGUGGUAAAAACUCCGGUGGUAUGAGAUGGACCCGCGCUGAUUAGGUAGUUGGUGGGGUAACGGCCUACCAAGCCGACGAUCAGUAGCCGACCUGAGAGGGUGACCGGCCACAUUGGGACUGAGACACGGCCCAG